rnacentral:lncRNA from 1 species
UUUAUGUAAAUCUCAUUAAUUCCAUCUCUUGAUGUAAUUUUCUCCUAAGAUUGUUUCCACCCACCUCCCUGAAAUCUGAUUUGGACCCCCAGGAGGCCAGAAGAGUAUAAAAACGCAAAAGAUGUUGACUUCUGAGUCCCACAUACCCGGCGUCAGCUGGUGAAUGAAAGACACGAAGGAGCUGCUGUGGAGCUGCUGUCUCCCCUCGGAGUUUGGCAGGCCCGGGAUUCCGCAAAUGAGUUGGCGGGGCCAGAUGCCUCCAGCCCUGAGCUCAGUACAUUCGGUGUCCUGGAUGCUCCCUUCCUUUCCUUAUCACUGCGAGCUCUCCUGGGACGGCCUAGAUUUUGGGACCUACUUUCUGCUCCCUGCGUGCUUCAUUGCUGAAACUGCCGGCGAAAAGAUCUCUUUCUCAAGCCUCAGAGCACCUUGAGGCGGGGCGCAGAGUCGCCCGCUCUGGAUCCCGCGCCAGAGACCCAGGAGGAUCCGCAGGAGCCCUCGGGAGAGCAGGAGGCUGCAUAGGGUCUCAACGUACUCCCGUCCCCGCAGCCUCCCUCGCAACUCGCCCCUCGCUCGGUAGGCAGACAACUCCAGCCGGACAGGUCCGUCCGAGGAGACCUUUCAGAGUGUCAGCCUACUGCUGACCUCGGAGCCACCAACCAAAGUUCCAAGACUGCUGGCUGCAGAUUGCAUGCGCUUGGGGCAGACGCCCUAAGAAUGUGUCCACCGAGUCCAAUGUGUCUUUGGAGUCCUGAGCCCUGAGAUUUCCGCUAAGACCUUCCAUUGGACGAUCUCUUGUUAACAGAUGUUGUUACAGUAACACGUGAGUUCGCUCAAAUGCGAUGGAAUUUUUGCCUUUCGAUCAUUUUGUGCCUUUGUCUUUCCCCUUCUCAAUAAAAUCGUACACAAAUGUGAAA